CGGCGCUUGCGCGUCCCGCCGGCGACCGGCGCACGGGUGAGUAACACGUAUGCAACCUGCCCCCGCCAGGGGUACAACCCUCCGAAAGGGGGGCUGAUACCGCGUACAUCCCCUGGGGGCAUCCCCGGGGGAGGAAAGCCCUUUUGGGCGGGCGGGGAUGGGCAUGCGGCGCAUUAGAAAGACGGCGGUGUGACGGACCACCGUUCCGACGAUGCGUAGGGGUUCUGAGAGGAAGGCCCCCCACACUGGUACUGAGACACGGACCAGACUCCUACGGAAGGCAGCAG
rnacentral:rRNA from 1 species